GACGAACGCUGGCGGCGUGCCUAAUACAUGCAAGUAGAACGCUGAAGAGAGGAGCUUGCUCUUCUUGGAUGAGUUGCGAACGGGUGAGUAACGCGUAGGUAACCUGCCUGGUAGCGGGGGAUAACUAUUGGAAACGAUAGCUAAUACCGCAUAAAAUGGAUUAUCGCAUGAUAAUCCAUUGAAAGGUGCAAAUGCAUCACUACCAGAUGGACCUGCGUUGUAUUAGCUAGUUGGUGGGGUAACGGCUCACCAAGGCGACGAUACAUAGCCGACCUGAGAGGGUGAUCGGCCACACUGGGACUGAGACACGGCCCAGACUCCUACGGGAGGCAGCAGUAGGGAAUCUUCGGCAAUGGACGGAAGUCUGACCGAGCAACGCCGCGUGAGUGAAGAAGGUUUUCGGAUCGUAAAGCUCUGUUGUAAGAGAAGAACGAGUGUGAGAGUGGAAAGUUCACACUGUGACGGUAUCUUACCAGAAAGGGACGGCUAACUACGUGCCAGCAGCCGCGGUAAUGCGUAGGUCCCGAGCGUUGUCCGGAUUUAUUGGGCGUAAAGCGAGCGCAGGCGGUUAGAUAAGUCUGAAGUUAAAGGCUGUGGCUUAACCAUAGUACGCUUUGGAAACUGUUUAACUUGAGUGCAAGAGGGGAGAGUGGAAUUCCAUGUGUAGCGGUGAAAUGCGUAGAUAUAUGGAGGAACACCGGUGGCGAAAGCGGCUCUCUGGCUUGUAACUGACGCUGAGGCUCGAAAGCGUGGGGAGCAAACAGG
rnacentral:rRNA from 1 species